rnacentral:pre_miRNA from 1 species
GGUGGGGUGGGGGGUCCCUCAGCCCAGAUUGAGAGAGGGUGCAGGCCAAGCUGAGGGACCCAACUAGUGCACA